AAGGAAAGUUGGCGAGAACAAUAAACUAGCUGUGACUUCUGUAUAUAUCAUGAGCAACAACUGAAACACAAUGAGGGCAAUAGGUGUGGAAGGAAGCAAACAGUAGAACAAAGUUGAAGAGCCACAAGUACUAUGGGUGAGCAGAAAAACAUCCCAGAGAGAGGUUGUCAUAGGAACUGUGCCAGAAGAGCAAGUUACUCAAUAGAAUGUACCAUCCAAAGAAGAGAGGAAGGAACUGAUCUUGAAGCAUCUUUUACCACCCAUUUUAGGGAACGAAUCUUUCAUGAAUCUCCUCAUGGAAAUUGUCUACAGUGACGGCAGGAGACCUCUGAGGAAGACACAAUCAUUAUUCAAAUUUUCCAGAUGAAUAAAUGAAGCACAAAGAAGGUGAAUUGUUCAAGGUCACAUGGAGGAGUUCAUAGCUGGAACUUCCUUACUAUACUUUCCCCAAAGUUUUGAGACCCUAUGUUAUGGGCUAAAUUUUGUCCUCUUCAAAGUUCAUAUGUUGGAGUCUGUUAAAGAGAAAAUUAUUCAUCCAAAUCAUUCAUUAAGAAACACUAAGAAUUGGGGCGCCUGGGUGGCUCAGUGGGUUAAAGCCUCUGCCUUCGGCUCAGGUCAUGAUCUCAGGGUCCUGGGUUUGAGCCCCGCAUCAGGCUCUCUGCUCAGCGGGGAGCCUGCUUCUUUCUCUCUCUCUGCCUGCCUCUCUAACUACUUGUGAUCUGUCUCUGUCAAGUAAAUCAAUAAAAUCUUUAAAAAAAAAAAAACACUAAGAAUUGAUUCAGAGGACUAUCAAAAUAGGUAUAGGGGCCCAUAAAAUGUGGGUGGGGAGGGGCCUAUAGUAGGGGAGAAAGAUUGGACUCAAAUUCAAAUACAAAGAAAAAUGGAAAUUUGUAGCCACAAACCAGGGUUGGGGAUCCGGGGACAGAAAAUUACUAAGAUGAAACAUUAUAGGUAAGGGAGGAUUCUGUCUAAAAAAAACCUGAUAGGAUUCUUGCUCAAGUUAGGUGAGGGAGGUUAGAUAUCAUCUGGGGAAAGGUAGAUCAUGAGGUACCCAAUCAGAUAUUGAGGGUGAUCAGAUAUCAAAUAUGGGAGUUUCUUGUUAAACUGACUUAGCAGGAUUCUUGCUAGAAAUAGUCUACAAGGAAGUCUACAUGGGAACCCAAGGUCAGGCCUAGUGAAAAAGGGAGCUCAGAAAAGCAUGACCAAAGUUUGAUCAAGGUGAGAAUCUUUGUGAAAUCCUACCCCCUCCUUUAGUACCUAAGAAUGUGACAGUAAUUAGAGAUAUGACCCUUAAAGAGAUGAUUAAGGUAAAAUGAGGUCAUUUGUGGUGUCCUUAUAAGAAGAGGAGGUGCAAAGACAGACACCCAUGGAGUGAGGAUCAGGGGAAGACACCAGAGGAAGACAGCCAUCUAGAAGCCAAGGAGAAAAGCCUUUAGAAGGAACCAACCCCACUAACACUUUGAUCUUAAGAGUUCCAGCCUCCAGAACGAGGAGGAAAUAACUUGCUGUUGUAUAAGCCAUUCUGUCAGUGGUACUUUGUUAUGGCAGCCCUAGCAAAUUAAGACACCCUUCAGUGAGCUUAGCAUCUUGAACUUUAUUCGAACCUGUGUCAUCUCUUUGUCUUGGCCUCUCUACUCUUGGCAUUCUGUGGCUGUGUCUGUUUCAUUGUAGUUAAGCACCAGGUGUGGAAUGUGAACCUCUGUGUAAAAUGGCACAGCUUUCCUCUGGAAAGGGCUCUGUAAAGACUCAAUCCAGGAAAAUUAACCAAGGUAUGUGGUGCUUUCUUUUCUGUUUUAUGCCUGUCUCCUCCCACUUAACCAGAGUGGAUGUUCCUCAGUGUAAAGACCACGGUGUACUCAUCUCUAGAUGCAAGUUCUUACAGGACUGCACUGCCAUUAAUUUUUUAUGUAUUUAUUUACCACCUUCACCCCACCCCUAGUUAAUUUCUAAAUUCACAGACACUAAGAUUGUGCCUAUGAAUUAUUCAUUUCUGUAUUCCCUACAAUUCCUUGUUCAAAGUAGGCACUAAUUUAUUUUUGGAUUUUUUGACUGGGGAAUACACACACACACACACACACACACACACACACACAGAGUAUACAUUAUAAUAUGUAUAUAAUCUUUCUUCUUUAUCUCUGAUGAGGAGAUUUUUGUAAUA
rnacentral:lncRNA from 1 species